CCUACGGGAGGCUGCAGUAGGGAAUAUUGGGCAAUGGACGCAAGUCUGACCCAGCCACGCCGCGUGAAGGAUGACUGCCCUAUGGGUUGUAAACUUCUUUUGUAUGGGAAGAAACCUCCGAACGUGUUCGGAGCUGACGGUACCAUAAGAAUAAGCAUCGGCUAACUCCGUGCCAGCAGCCGCGGUAAUACGGAGGAUGCAGGCGUUGUCCGGAUUCAUUGGGGCGUAAGCGUACGUAGACGGAGGAGUUGAAAGCUCGCAGCUUGACUGUGAAAAUGCCAUUGAAACUGAUUUUCUUGAGUUCGAUUGAGGUAGAUGGAAUGUAUCAUGUAGCGGUGAAAUGCUUAGAUAUGAUACAGAACACCAAUUGCGAAGGCAGUCUACUAAGUCGAUACUGACGCUGAGGCACGAAAGCAUGGGGAGCAAACAGGAUUAGAUACCCCAGUAGUC
rnacentral:rRNA from 1 species